rnacentral:rRNA from 1 species
UACAGAGGUCUCAAGCGUUGUUCGGAUUCAUUGGGCGUAAAGGGUGCGUAGGCGGCGCGGUAAGUCGGGUGUGAAAUUUCGAAGGCCUUAACUUCGAAACUGCAUUCGAUACUGCCGUGCUAGAGGGCUGGAGAGGAGACUGGAAUUUACGGUCGUAGCGGUGAAAUGCGUAGAUAUCGUAAGGAAGACCAGUGGCGAAGGCGGGUCUCUGGACAGUUCCUGACGCUGAGGCACGAAGGCCAGGGGAGCAAACGGG